AAAUUGCAUCAUGUGACAUGUAAAGGAAAAGUAAAAUAGAAAAAGGGAAGUAACCUUGGGCAAUCCACCCAUGUAAGAGAAAAAUGAGAGUGAAAGCCAUUUCAAGGCUUUUGCCUUGAGAGAAUCUACCCCAUUUGGAAGAGAGAUGAAGGGAAAAUAGCCUUGUGAGGCUUCCACUCGAGAGGAGAGAAAGAGUUGAGUGAAAAGGGCUUGGAGGAGGCUCAGUUUUGUGGAAUAUGGGAGAAAACUGAAAGGUUUCCUCUUGCAUGCCAUGGUUAGAGCUUUAAGAAGGCAUGGGAGGUUCGGCCUAGUGGUUCCAACCUAAGGAAGCCAAGGUCCUCCAAGAUUUGAAAGAAAUAGAUGCACACAUGUGGGUCAAUCGUGGAAUGCAUGGUGAUUUUGAAGCUAGAUAAGCAAUGGGUACUGAGCAGCGUAGCGUGCAUUCAUCGGCAUUUACAGUCCACCAUGGAUAGGUAAAGGGGUUUCAUAACACUUUAUUCCAAGUCGCUUCACUGCUAGAGGUUGAGUCUUUAAUAGCAUGAUGUAUUUGUAAAUAGUGACAAUGUAAAUAUGCAGUUGGAUACUAUGGACUUUAGUGUGUUCUUACAAUUAUGAAGAAUAAAGAAUAAGAUGGCUUAUUAUGAUUUAUGUUCAAUUCUUAUUACAAAGAGUUUUAUGGUUCAAAGUAACUGCAUAGAUUGAUGGCUGAAUAUGAAGUAAUAACUAAAGUUU